rnacentral:ncRNA from 1 species
GAAAAAGGGGUGCCUCUAAGAGGCUGAGAUUAUACCCUAUGAACCUGGGCAGGUAAUGCUGCCAAGGGAAACUAAGUAAAAAUGAC